AUGAAUAAUGUUGAAUGGUACUAUUUUAAACUUCUCUCGUUAUUUAAGACUUGUUGUUACAAACAUGUAAUCAAUUGUACAAACCAUAUGAGAAAAAUGGACUCCGACGUGGUGGUUGGGCUAAAAGACGUGCUUAGUGCACCCCACACUUUUAAUGCCGUCUAUACUAACCCACCCGCUUUAAAUAUUUGUCUAAUAUAA